UGACACUACGGCCGGUGAGUAGCUAGCCUU
rnacentral:piRNA from 1 species